GGUUCCCGCCCGCGGCUCUCUCUCCACACAUCCCCGCAAGCUGAGGGAGCCAGCUCCGGCCUUGGCCAGCCCAGAAAAGGGCUCCCACAGUGCAGGGGCGGGCUGAAGGGCUCCUCAAGUGCCGCCAAAGUGGGAGCCCAGGCAGAGGAGGCGCCGAGAGCGAGCGAGGGCUGUGAGGACUGCCAGCACGCUGUCACCUCUCAGUCAGAGCCCACAGAUAAUAGCAACACACUAAGGUCCUCAAGGUACAUCGUUGGGAUCAAGCAACUUUGAUCCCAAGGAGAAGAAUAAAAACAAGAGGGACGACUGGGCCAAGGUGCCAUGUGAAGUGACCUGUGAGGAUCAACCCAGUGAAGAUGCUUGAGGAAGACAUGCUAGAGCAAAAACUACAACUCUGGUCCUCUUGGAUAUUUUAGAUAAGGACUUUACCCACAUAAAGAAGGUGUUGCCCUGGGGACUGGCUGAGAGAAAUUACAGUGGGGAAGCCAGAAUCUCUAGACAUGGGAAGAAGGGCUUAUGAGUUGUGUUCUGGUAGGUGUAAGAAAUGACUGUUACUCACUUCAAAAGAAACGGACUGCUACAGUGGUACUUACGUCACCAGAAAGAAACACUUCCACAAAGAAUUUGAUUUGAUGGCAUCAUGUGGACAUAGAACUCUCAUAGUAAUGACCCAACCUGUGUUUCCAGUCAUCCUGAUGAACUCUCAACAAAAUCAGAUUGUUAUACUGUUGUUCUCACUUUACACCGAUAUUUUCUCUUGCUCCUAAAAAAAGUAUCUGGUAUUAAAUAGAAUUCUGUAUCUUAAAAAACUUGCCAUUGAGAAAAAUGAGAAGUAACUGUACAUUUUAAUACUGAAGGUUUUAAUAAAAAAAGCAGUGUGAACUAUCUGUUCCAUUUUUAUUCCUCGUCUACAAAAGACAAAAGUGUCAGUAUUGAGACAAUUGCUUGAUAACAGGGAUCACAAAUAUUGCUCUUCCUGAAAUUUUUGCAAACUUGAGGUUUACUUUCUUUAAGAUUUCUGGGCAAUUCUGUUAGGAUAAAGUGCAAAUCCUAUAAAUGAAAGGGUUACAACUGAGAUAAUUAAACUGAUCAUUGGAGCAAAAAUAUUUUCCCCUGGAGCAAUUACUAAAUUAAGGUUUACUUCAUUUUGCUUGAAAUAGUAAAUUUGUUACCUCUCCAGUUUAGUUUAUUAGUAUAAAUUAGACAUGACAUAAAUGAGAACUAUGUCAAGCUAAUGAAUUUCAUUGGAAGUUGGCUAUUGAAAGUUAGAAAGAAAUGAAAAAUAACUCAUAAUAAAUUCAUCUAACAUGUCUUUUGCCUCCUACUCCGCAACAUGGCCUUUGUCUGACAUUUCUAGAAGAGCAGGUAUUCCAAGUCAGUUAAUUUUAGUUAGUGAAAUUUUUUCUUUCAAGCAGCCAAUUAUUUUGACAAAAAUAUAUCCAUCACUGCCAUCAACUGAGGUUAGGAGAAAACUUACUUAAGCACAGUGAAAACAGUGGAUUGAAGACCAUGAAAAGCGGGCCCAGGAGGCCCAAGGCAUCUAGCGCCAAGAGUAGGGGGAAUGUGAAAUAAAUUUGAGAAAGAACCUCUUGAAACUAUGUUCCCCUGCUUUCUCAAAUGGUAUAUAUUUGAUGUAACUUAAUCCCUGCACGAUUAGAGUCAACACUAUAAACAACCGUAAAAACUGCACUGUAAUACAGUUAUACAUAGGAGUUUUGCAGUUAUGUAAAAUACUAAAUAAAUCAUAUUCCACCUUUUUAAAAUGUAUCUAUUUUCAGUUGUGUACAUUGUUAUACUAGUUUUCUAUAUCUUCCCUCACCAACAAGUUGUCCACUCUAAAUUUGUUCUGCUGACAAUAUGUUUCUGGCUGUAGCCUACCUAAAGCCUUCUCACGUUUUGUUUCAAAUACAAGCUGAGAUAUUAGGUAAGUCAUAAUGACAUUAGCUGUGUAUUUACUUGCAAUAGAAAAAACUUUCACACUUAUUCUAUAUUCUCUUGUUUUAUUCAGAUAGCUUUGAGUUGGAUUUGUGUUGGUUUAUUGAGAAGUAAAUGGAUUAGUACUUAGAAUUCAUUAGGACACACUUACAAUCAUGUCCAAAGUAACAUUAAAUAAAGAAUAAAAGAAGCUCUCCUUUGAGUUACAUGCAUGGAUUUUAGUACAUGAGUUUUGUGGCAUCUUUCGGCUAAUUCAUAGCAUGUUUUUUUUAUAUUGAAGUUUCCAUCCAUAGUUUGUAAUGGAGGUUAUUUUACUAUUUAUUAAUGGUGCUGAGGAUUUAAAGGAUAUAUAGAAUAAGGGAGCUUGGAAUAUUGAGUUCCAUUUAAAUAAUCAUAAAAGUAACAGACCAUUGGGGGAGAUUAAAAGCCAGCCGAACUUGCUUUGAAAUGUUCUAUUUCUACAAUAUUAGAAAUGUUGGAUUCUCAAAGACUUGCAACCGUAAAUCAUAUUUCCCAGAAGUAAAGCUUUUUGAGGGUAUUCAGGCUGCUAGAAAAACAAACACACAUCAAGAGUGGCCUUCAAAAAGACAGAGGAGGGUGUAUUGUCAGGGGGCGCAGCAACAGACAGAAGGCAGUUGCCAUGUAAGGAAGACACUUCCGUCACACCUUCUCAGGGUUUUACUACUGUAAUAUUGAAAUAAA
rnacentral:lncRNA from 1 species